GCCUGGAUGGCUCAGUCGGUUGAGUGUCCGACUUCGGCUCAGAUCAUGGUCUCACGGUUCGUGGGUUCGAGCCCUUUGUCAGGCU
rnacentral:tRNA from 1 species